rnacentral:rRNA from 1 species
CGAUGUACACUAGGUGUUGGGGUACGAACCUCAGUGCCGAAGCAAACGUGAUAAGUGUACCGCCUGGGGAGUAUGCCCGCAAGGGUGAAACUCAAAGGAAUUGACGGGGGCCCGCACAAGCGGUGGAGCAUGUGGUUUAAUUCGAUGGUACGCGAGGAACCUUACCUGGGUUUGACAUCUAGUGGAAUACCUUAGAGAUAAGGUAGCGUAGCAAUACGUCGCUAGACAGGUGCUGCAUGGCUGUCGUCAG